GCCCGUUUCCACUUGGGAGAGAAAGAAACGAAAUGCGAAUGCGACAGCACGCACCGUGGCAGCGCCCGGGCCGGGGCCACGCGCCCAUGCGGAUGGCGCCGCGCUUGCGGGCGGCGGCGCUGGAACCAGCGCUCGUGCGCGAGUACGGCGGCGGGGGGCGGCGCGGGAGCUGGUGCUCGCGCACGAAGCAGUCGUUCGGACGCCGUCUGCCCCGCGGGUGGUCACCAGUGCCCGCCAGCUGUUCGCUCUUUUGCCCCAGACGGGCAAAAACUAGUUACGUGUGGAAACGGGGUUGACACCUUACCAGAACAAGAUCUGAGUCUCGCAAGAACUCUAGCUGAUGGGUAACAUACAUGACUGUCUUAGAGGACAUUAGUCUCAAUUGCUCAUGUUUACGUACCUUGAAGAGAUGUGCGCUGGUGUGCGCAUCCACAGCACUGAAGGGGUCAUCCAAGAAGUAAACAUCAGAAUCGCUGUACAAUGCCCUGGCAAGCUGGAUCCUCUGCUUCUGGCCUCCACUUAGGUUCACACCCCUUUCCCCUACUACAGUCAUAUCUCCAUUGGCCCAUAACUCCAAAUCUCUAUCCAAGGCACACCCUUGUAGCACCUCUUCGUAUAAGCUUCUGUCCAUAGCCUUCCCAAAGAGCACAUUGUCCUGAAUUGUCCCAGUUUGAAUCCACGCACUCUGAGGGACAUAUGCCCUUGAUCCGACAACCGUUGGUUCUGCACCGCUAACCCUUGGAAUCUCUCCCAUGAUGCUGUAAAGGAGGCUUGAUUUGCCUGAACCAACUGGCCCACACACUGCAACCUUGAGACCCUUCCCGAUGCUCACCUUGCUGUUGAUCUUGAGUGUUACCUUUGUUUUCUUCGAGCUAGUAUCAGCUUCCCAACUGUACUCUCCUGGUUCAAUUACUAUUUCACCAGCCAUUGCCAAGUCCUUUGUUCCAGUUAUGUUGCCAUAGCAACUUGGCUUACCCUGGUGGUCUUCUUUGAUGAACUCUUCUAUUCUAUCCAAGGACACCUUGGUUUGUGUGACCAUUGACACAAGCUCUGGGAGGUUAUAGAUCGGGUCUUGGAGGAUUCUGAACGUGGCAAGGGCCGAUAAAACUGUUCCAGCUGCCAAUGGUAUCUCCACAAGAAUGCAGACACCGAAGGUAACGACCGAAACCAACGUUGGUGAGGCCCAGAACAGGAAAGCUAUCGCUGAGCACUUGUAGAGAUACUUCCUGAGCCACCCCUUUUCCACAUCCCUGAGCUUCAGGAGCUUGUCCAAGUAGGCUGUCUCCCAUGCAUGAAGCUUCAAGAUCCUCAUGCUCUUCAUUGCCUCGGCCAUAGCCUUGAUGCGCGAGUCCUUCGCCUCCAUUAUCUUCAUAUUAAGGUUCUGCUGCGAAUUUGCCAGUGGUGUGUUGCUCACCAUCACCAGCACUGUUACGAGGACUGCAGACAGCGAGGCCAUUGCACCGAGACUAUGGUACAGGAUCGCAAGUGCCAAGAAAAUUUGCAAGGGCAGCAACCAAAUCCCAUGGAUGUACCAGAAGAACUCACCAACCUUCUCGACGUCAACAUCAAGGAAGUUCACAACUUUCCCUGCAACUGGGCCCGAGUUCUUCAUCAGCAGGGACUUCUUGUAGAUGGACACCAUCAGUGCUGCCCGCACCUGGAAUCCAAUUCUGCGGGCGCCAAAGUACCACUGCCGCUGUGAGAGUGACUCCACUGUCUUGGAGGCAAAGAAGAGGCAUGCAAGCAUGUAUCCACGGCCAUGGCCCUUGUCAGUUUUCUUGUCAGAGAGUAGCUCCACCAAGUAGGUGAUCAAGAACGGUCCCAUAUAAGAAGAAACAGUGUUGAGCCCUGGUAAUGAAAGCCAGUUACUGUAUUAAUAGAUUUCCAGGACAAAUACUAGCUCUAUUAUUGGAAACAGAAGAAGAACUGUUCACUAACCUGCAAAGACUGCAUUGGUGACCAGAGGUGUCCAGACAGCACAAAUGAUGGCUUCCCGCAGUGGCAUUGGCUCAGGUUUCUGCUUGUGGAGUGUCUCUUGAAGCAAGGCAUACGACUGCUCUGCCGUCUCGGACUGCGGCACAGACGGGAUGUGUUCCAGCUCGAGCCUCACCUUGUGCCCCUUCUCGAACACUGGGUUCAGCCACCGGAAUGUGAGCCGACUCCACCACCCCGAGCUAGAGAACCUGUCCCUGCUGCUGUCAUCAGCAUCUUCUCUAUGCAGUAGUGGCUGGUCCAGCUCUUUCUGGUUUGCUUUGGAAAGCCUCAUAGCUACGACAACCAGGCAGAUACCAGUGCAGAAGGGAAGAGAAGCGAAAUCAACGACGACAGUUGCAGAAUCAAAGAGGCAAAGCAAAUGCAGCGAGGCGAGGAGCGAUUCCGAUAGGAAGCUGAAGAACCACCAAGCAACAAGAACUGGAGGCCAGUUGGAUGAUACUACUACUGCAGCACCUUCAUGCUUGCAGUAGAGCAGGAAGAGAGUAGCCAGAAGCCACGAGGAAGAUUGAAAUACCAGGCCCGGGGAGACGGCUUGCCGCUUCCAGACCCCAAGAACCGAGAACACGAUAUGGGACAGCGUGAUCGAAGCAUUGCAGAAUGCAACUAUACUGGCUGCCCCUCCUCGCUGCGCCGAGACCACGUCGCCGCCAUGCCCUGCUGCUGCUGCUGCUGCUUGGUGCCUGUUCCUCCGUUUCACAAGCUCUGCAAGGGUCCAAACCAGCAGGCCGGCGAACGCUGCUGCCCGGACGUAGUCCAAUGCUUGCAAUUCCUCCAUGGGAUGCUGGGAAUCAUGAGAAGGUGGCAUGGAGCUGUGGAACACCAAGAUGGCAACGAAUUGGCCUGUUACAUUGAGGCAGGACAGUGAGAGACAAACUUGGGCAAAAUAAGCUAAGCAGUGCGUGGUGGGAGGGGACGGGCGCUAACCAAAAGUAGAGCCUGACUGACAGCACGUGGCUUGGCUUGAGAGGCUAUGUACGCGUACUCGGGAUCGGCAACGGCAUCAAGCCUGCCUUGCGCUGGUCUUUUUCAAGUGGCGAUGCUAGUGUUUACUGCCUACCUAACACAAGGAAGAAGAGAGAAUCAAAGGGCACAUAUAUUGAGAUAGUGUUAGGUUUUGCAGCAUGCGUGCAUCUUGAUUGGGCAAUUUAUUCCCUCCGUCCUACUAAUAUAAGAGCGUUUUUGACACUCUUAUAUUAUGGGAUUGAGGGAGUAGCUUCGACUCUUUUGGCAUAAGCAGGAGAAAGGUCGGUAUCAGUGUCUGUCCGGAUAACGAAAGAUGCACCAACUAGGCAACUAGAGCUGGUCGCGGCGUGGAUGGAGUACAACAACUAUUGUUCUUAUCGGCCAGCCCCAAAGCAUAUGGAAGAUGGCCCUAUAUAAUAAACAAACACAAAAGCAUUGGAAAUAAGUCGAGCCUCGGUGUCGAAAAAGCUUAACUCCUGUACUCCUUCACUCCAUGAAGAAAUAUAAGAGCAUUUAGAUCACUACUCUUAUAUUUCUUCUUCACAGAGGGAGUAUCAGCGAAGAAGAUGAAGAAGCAAAUAUCCAAAUGCCACUGAUCGAAAGCACGACAGGGCAGAGACCCGGGGGGACGCCCGAUCCAAAUUGCCCACGGAGAGAGAUAGAGAGGAGGAUCAAAUCCGGGCGCGGCGCCGGACCCGAUCUGGCCCGGGCAUCUCCAUCGGUGACGGGUGGCGGUGCAAGCGGCCAACGGCGUACUGCUCAGACGCGGAACGUGCAUGCAUGCGCUGCGGCAGUUGCAGGACGAGCCCUUGUGCCGUCGUCUACCCCCAUGGCACGCGUGUUCCCCCAUGGCUUGGCAUGGGCAAUGGCCAAUGGAAGAGGGGCCGAUGCAGCAUCCAUGUGAGUAAGCGGAAAGUUACCAUCACUGCCGUCGAUUUAUUUAUCCUCGCGCUCGCUGGCACUGGCAGGAGGAAGGCGGUGAAACUUGAUCGACCUUUGUAUCCCUGUGAACGUACGCACACGUCGCCCGCGUGUGUGGUGACGUCGUUGAUGCGAGCGCAAAUCCCCCACGAUUUCGAUCCGAUUCGACUGUGAUGGCCGUCCCUCCCUCCCCGGUGUGCGCCUCUUUCUGAAAAAAGCUUCCUUAAUGGGGCCCGCCACAUGGCAGGAGCCGGGCGGCAAGCCCCCGUCGCGUGCCAGUCACACGCCAAGCGGCUAUCCAUGCACGCCGGGAGUCCUUGCUGACCCCUCACGUUCCCAUAAUCCCAUUGGA